rnacentral:lncRNA from 1 species
GGAAAUUAUCACAACUCUAUUUUAUAUAGAUUCAGAGUCUGAAUUUAUUUUUUAAAAAGAAUCAGUGAGAGAAGUAAGAAUAAAGGCAAAUGAAAGAGGAGGAGGAGGAGCUGUUCCACAUGAAGAGAGGAUGUGUUAUGAAAACCUUCAGAGUCAGGCAGAAGUGAAGGGGAAGGAACGAGAGCUUUUGGAGAGACAUGAAAGACAGAAACAGAUCUAGAGAAAGUUUCCAUGCAGGAAGGAAGGAAGGAAGACGUGCUGGUGAGCAGUUUCCUGUUCAACUUCCAUUCUAUUUUUAGAGAAGCCCUUAAUGCUGACCAUCUCAAAGGAAACAACUGAAAAGAUAGGAAAACCAACAACAUGGCAAUAAGAAGUGGCCAAGGGCUUGGAGUCUGGAGCUGUCUGGGCGUGUCUGGGUUGCUGCUCUAUACCGUGCCUGUCACUGGUGGGGCUUUGGUGGGGAGAAAAGGCAAACUCAUUCUGGUUUGCCUUGGUGGUCACAUGGAGCUGGGCUGGGAUGGUGACCACCUUUUUGUGUGUAAAUCACCCUCUCUUUUGUAUCCUUUUGUCACUAAUACUGUUUCUGUUGCUGCUUGUUUCUUCUCUCAUUGCUGUUAUCAAGGAAAUUUUUCUUUACCAGAAACUCUGCUUUUUUCUUGCUCUCGCCAGAGGAGGAAGGAGGAGGGAAGUGGCUGAGUUAAUUCCAGUUAAUUCAAUUUAAUUUCCAGCUGAGUUUAAACUACAAC